UCGUGUAAGCUGAGACAGCAUAUGAUUACUUUUUAUUAGCCUGGAUAGAACUGAUUCUCAACUCUUCUGCACGGUCUGUGGAGCCUUUAUUUUCAAGGCUAUAGGCGAUGUAACUCCAUAGUGAAAGCAAAUUAUGAACUGUGUUUGCACAAUUAUGCUCUGCAUAGGCUUAAAGCGGCUGCGAGCUGGAUGACCAAACUCAGCAACAGAGAAGUGGCACAAACACAUGGCAGAUUAAAAGAAUAUAGCACAUCUACUGUAUGAAACAGUGGCACAGCAGUGGCUGACAGCAUGGCAGUUUCAUAAACUAUACAACCUCGUAGAAUGUUUUCAUUAAUCAAGAAUUAGAUUAGAAGCCUGAGACCAAUACAGGUACAUUGAAGAAGAGGAUUUAUGUAGUGGAAGCAAGGAUUUUUCAGAUUUGAAACUCGCUGCAAAUGACGUAACCAGGAGGAGGUGCCUAGAUGGUUAAUGUCCCUAAUUCUACUUACUUUGGGCUCAUUAAUGGUACAGAUGCCCUGACAAAUGUGGAUUCAAACCAAGAAUAAAUCCUGCACCAGUAUCACUGUCACAAGUACUAUUAUCUUCAAUAGUCCUCUACGCAAUAUUGUUUCAGUUUACAAGGUGUCUUCACCCAUGUAUGAUUGCAAGGCCUUUUUGAGGUGGUACCCACUACUCAAUGUAGGCAUACAUUGCAAUAGAAAGAAGAAAAGUAGUCUCAACGGUGACGCAAAUAAUAUCCUCCUGAAUUUUAUUUUUAACUUCUUGUCCAACACAUUUAUCAUCAAUAUCCUAAUUAUAAUCCUACACUGCACCUCCAACCCAGCAGCUGCAGACAUUAGCAGCUGCUAGGUAAGUGUAUAAAAACAAAACACAGCCAUCACCUUCAUUGAGGUGCCCCGGAGGCUGCAGAAGGGAUCAUGUGCCGGGAAACUGAAGUCGCGAU